CAGAACGAACGCUGGCGGCGCGUCUUAAGCAUGCAAGUCGGGCGGCAAGGGGUAGCAAUACCCCCUAGAGCGGCGGACUGGUGAGUAACGCGUGGGUGACCUGCCUUGAGGCUGGGGAUAGCCGCUAGAAAUAGCGGGUAAUACCGAAUACGGUUGCCGGGUUGUGGCCUGGCAAAGAAAGGGGCUCCGGCCCCGCCUUGAGAUGGGCCCGCGUCCUAUUAGGUAGUUGGCGGGGUAAGGGCCCACCAAGCCUCUGAUAGGUAGCCGGCCUGAGAGGGCGAACGGCCACACUGGGACUGAGAUACGGCCCAGACUCCUACGGGAGGCAGCAGCUAAGAAUAUUCCGCAAUGGGCGAAAGCCUGACGGAGCGACGCCGCGUGGAUGAGGAAGGCCGAAAGGUUGUAAAAUCCUUUUGCGGACGAAGAAUAAGCCCUGCAGGGAAUGGCAAGGGUGAUGACGUUAGUCCGUAAUAAGCCCCG
rnacentral:rRNA from 1 species